rnacentral:rRNA from 1 species
AAANCNCUUUUGAAACGCCCCCCUGGCNCACCCAGAAACCCUUUGUGAACUUAUACCUUACUGUUGCCUCGGCGCAGGCCGUCCCCUAUGGGGUCCCUUGGAGACAAGGAGCAGCCGGCCGGUGGCCAAAUUAACUCUGUUUUUACACUGUAACUCUGAGUACAAAACAUAAAUGAAUCAAAACUUUCAACAACGGAUCUCUUGGUUCUGGCAUCGAUGAAGAACGCAGCGAAAUGCGAUAAGUAAUGUGAAUUGCAGAAUUCAGUGAAUCAUCGAAUCUUUGAACGCACAUUGCGCCCUCUGGUAUUCCGGAGGGCAUGCCUGUUCGAGCGUCAUUUCAACCCUCAAGCCUGGCUUGGUGUUGGGGCACUGCUGUAAAAGGGCAGGCCCUGAAAUACAGUGGCGAGCUCGCCAGGACUCCGAGCGUAGUAGUUAAACCCUCGCUUUGGAAGGCCUGGCGGUGCCCUGCCGUUAAACCCCAACUUUUGAAAAUUUGACCUCGGAUCANGUAGGAAUACCCGCUUAACUUAAGCAUAUCAAUAAGCCNGAGGGA